rnacentral:rRNA from 1 species
AGUGAACGCUGGCGGUAGGCCUAACACAUGCAAGUCGAACGGCAGCACAGUAAGAGCUUGCUCCUACGGGUGGCGAGUGGCGGACGGGUGAGGAAUACAUCGGAAUCUACUUUUUCGCGGGGGAUAACGUAGGGAAACUUACGCUAAUACCGCAUACGACCUACGGGUGAAAGCAGGGGAUCUUCGGACCUUGCGCGAUUGAAUGAGCCGAUGUCGGAUUAGCUAGUUGGCGGGGUAAAGGCCCACCAAGGCGACGAUCCGUAGCUGGUCUGAGAGGAUGAUCAGCCACCCUGGAACUGAGACGCGGACCAGGCUCCUGCGGGAGGCAGCAGUGGGGAAUAUUGGACAAUGGCCGCAAGCCUGAUCCAGCCAUACCGCGUGGGUGAAGAAGUCCUUCGGGUUGUAAAGCCCUUUUGUUGGGAAAAAAAAGCAGCAGGUUAAUACCCCGCUGUUCUGAAGGUACCCAAAGAAUAAGCACCGGCUAACUUCGUG